rnacentral:rRNA from 1 species
AGAAUCAACGCUGGCGGCGUGCCUAACACAUGCAAGUCGCACGAGAAAGGGGAGCAAUCCCUGAGUAAAGUGGCGCACGGGUGAGUAACACGUGAAUGAUCUACCUCCGAGUGGGGAAUAACUGAGAGAAAUCUUAGCUAAUACCGCAUAACACUUACGAGUCAAAGCAGCAAUGCGCUUGGAGAGGAGUUCGCGGCCGAUUAGUUAGUUGGCGGGGUAAUGGCCCACCAAGACGAUGAUCGGUAUCCGGCCUGAGAGGGCGCACGGGCACACUGGAACUGAAACACGGUCCAGACUCCUACGGGAGGCAGCAGUGGGGAAUUUUGCGCAAUGGGGGAAACCCUGACGCAGCAACGCCGCGUGGAGGAUGAAAUAUCUUGGUAUGUAAACUCCUUUCGAUGGGGAAGAUUAUGACGGUACCCAUAGAAGAAGCCCCGGCUAACUUCGUGCCAGCAGCCGC